CGUACACUCCUGCGGGAGGCAGCAGUGGGGAAUUUUACGCAAUGGGGGAAACCCUGACGUAGCGACACCGCGUGAGCGAAGAAGCCCUUUGGGGUGUAAAGCUCUGUCAGCUGGAACGAAAACAAUGACGGUACCAGCAGAGGAAGCAUCGGCUAACUACGUGCCAGCAGCCGCGGUAAGACGUAGGAUGCGAGCGUUGUCCGGAUUUAUUGGGCGUAAAGAGUUCGUAGGUGGUUUGUUAAGUUUGGUGUUAAAGAUCGGGGCUCAACCCUGGGACUGCACUGAAUACUGGCAGACUCGAGUGUGGUAGAGGCUAGUGGAAUUCCCAGUGUAGCGGUGAAAUGCGUAGAUAUUUGGAAGAACACCGGUGGCGUAGGCGACUAGCUGGGCCAUAACUGACGCUGAGGAACGAAAGCCAGGGGAGCGAAUGGGAUUAGAAACCCCUGUAGUCCCAUGAU
rnacentral:rRNA from 1 species